rnacentral:rRNA from 1 species
UACGUAGGGGGCAAGCGUUGUCCGGAAUCAUUGGGCGUAAAGCGCGUGUAGGCGGUUCGAUAAGUCUGCUGUGAAAGUCCAGGGCUCAACCCUGGAAAGCCGGUGGAUACUGUCGGACUAGAGUGCGGAAGAGGCGACUGGAAUUUACGGUGUAGCAGUGAAAUGCGUAGAUAUCGUAAGGAAGACCAGUGGCGAAGGCGAGUCUCUGGGCAGUUACCGACGCUGAGGCACGAAGGCCAGGGGAGCAAACGGG